rnacentral:rRNA from 1 species
UACGAAGGGGGCUAGCGUUGCUCGGAAUUACUGGGCGUAAAGCGCGCGUAGGCGGUCUUUUAAGUCGGGGGUGAAAUCCUGGAGCUCAACUCCAGAACUGCCUUCGAUACUGGAAGACUUGAGUCCGGGAGAGGUGGGUGGAACUGCGAGUGUAGAGGUGAAAUUCGUAGAUAUUCGCAAGAACACCAGUGGCGAAGGCGGCUCACUGGCCCGGUACUGACGCUGAGGUGCGAAAGCGUGGGGAGCAAACAGG